AACGAACGCUGGCGGCAUGCCUAACACAUGCAAGUCGAACGAGGCCUUCGGGUCUAGUGGCGCACGGGUGCGUAACGCGUGGGAAUCUGCCCUUGGGUACGGAAUAACUCAGAGAAAUUUGUGCUAAUACCGUAUAAUGACUUCGGUCCAAAGAUUUAUCGCCCAAGUAUGAGCCCGCGUAAGAUUAGCUAGUUGGUGGGGUAAAAGCCUACCAAGGCGACGAUCUUUAGCUGGUCUGCGAGGAUGAUCAGCCACACUGGGACUGAGACGCGGACCAGACUCCUACGGGAGGCAGCAGUGGGGAAUAUUGGACAAUGGGCGAAAGCUUGAUCCAGCAAUGCCGCGUGAGUCAUGAAGGCCCUAGGGUUGUAAAGCUCUUUUACCCGGGAUGAUAAUGACAGUACCGGGAGCAUAAGCUCCGGUUAACUCCGUGCCAGCCGCCGCCGUAACAC
rnacentral:rRNA from 1 species